AGGCGGGGGUCGGAAAAAGUCCCGACCCUUGAUUUCCAUCAGGAUCUCGGCCCGGGGAGCAUUGAUGGGUGUGUAGUUCUCGUACCUCCCUGGGUACGUCCGAGGCCGUAGCGGGGACCUCGGUCGGGGAGGUGUCCUCUGCUGAGGUCGCCCCCGCUGACGGGGCGGGCUCCUUAAUCGGGGGAGAUUCUUUUCAUGGCGGGGGGAUCGGCUCCUCUGUCGGCCGCGCUCCUCGCGGCGUUUCUUCUGCUUCUUUGAAGCGGGCUCAAUUGCUCCCCGCCUAGAGGCGACUGCCUCCUCGGCCUUGGCAUACUUCCGGGCCCGGGCCAACAUCUCAG
rnacentral:lncRNA from 1 species